UUAGGUGGCUAUAGCAGUGAGGUUCCACCUCUUCCCAUUCCGAACAGAGAAGUUAAGCUCACUUACGCCGAUGGUACUGCGGUU
rnacentral:rRNA from 1 species